GACAACUUCAUUCACCCAUUGAAUAUCGAUUAUCGACUACCAUAGAAUGGAAGAUUAACUCAGGUUUCCUUUCCAGGAUUUACAAUCCCAGCAGGUUGGGCGAUACUGCUUGUGCACGGCGCUCCUCAUUUCGACGCUGAUACUUACAAGGAUCCACUCAUUUUCAAUCUGUGGCAUUGGAAGGAGCUCGACUCGUUCGAGAUUUCAAAGAACUUCAGGCCUUUCGGCGGAGGGACGAGACAAAGUGCGGGAGCCAAGUAUACUAAGGUGGUCCUGGAGGUGUUCAUACACAUCUUGGUCACUAAAUACAGGUGGACCAAACUAAGGGGACAUGUGGUUUACAAUCCGAUGGCAGGAUUUGGAGAGGGCGUGCACAUUAAGGUCUUCGAUAGAACUUAGCUCUCUCUCUCUCACACACACACGUGAGUGAAAAUAAGUGUAUUGGAAUAACUGUGUAAGACAUGGAGGAAGAUCGGAUGUAC